CAACACUCGACCUUCCCCCUGAUG
rnacentral:miRNA from 1 species